AUUUAUAAAAUGAAUUCAGAUCUUUUUGUUAAAGCUCAUUUAAAUAUUACAAAUAUGCUGCUAUUCGUUUUUAUGAUGAUUUCUCCCUUUGGGAGGCAUAAGAGUACAGGUUUGGAAACCUUAACGCAAACCAAACUUUAUGCUGGCAAUUUAAUUCUGCAAAACUCCUGGUUUAUGCUAUUUUUAAAAGUCUGCGUUUCCCUCCAACACUUAAAAGAUAGACACUCAAAACUCAAUAAGAUCUUCUAGAAAUUAAAAGGAUUUAAUUAGAUGAACCACAGUUUCUAAAUUAACUGCUUUUCACACACAUCCUUAGACCUGUGGUAGGUCAGGACUCAAUCUGAAUUGGGGAUUCAGCUGAAUUGCCUUUUUGGUGAGAAUCCCCGAUGGCCUCAUCGGAGAAUUUUUUACUUAAUAAAAAUAAAAGAGGGAGUUCCCCUUCCUUGCAUUUUUCGAAGCACUAAUUUUCUUCUAAUAUUUUGGGUAGUGCUUCAGGUUGGAGACAAAUGAGAUCACUAAACCCCGCCAGUGUGUGGACUCUGGGGCACAGUCUUCCAGUCCCCGAAGUUAAAUGUUUAGUUUGGGAAGGAGCGAGAGGGUUCCUACUAUUGUGGCAGGCUGCUUGGGGCAGGGGGUGUUCUCAAAUUACUGCUCCCUCACCGGGAAAGCCCGAACACAUCACGCUCAGUACGGGACGGAGAGCGAGACCACGCGGGGACUUCCGCCGGGCCAGGGCCAUUUGGGAACUGCGGCACCUAUACCAGCUCGGCGAAAACCAUCAUUAACGCGCCUUCGGAGCCACUCGGAGAGCCAGCCCACAGCCAGAGAGAAGAGUUUAGCCAGAGGUGUCCAGCUGUGGGGGAAGGGAGGGGAGGGGAGGAGUCUGGAGAGAUUCAGCCACACCUUCCCAGGUUCUGUCACUUUAAGGCAAACAGAAAUUCCCGAGUCCCGCCCCCUUCCCGAACAUCAGCUUACAAUUGGCUUACAGAGAUGCCAGUUGUGGACGGAGGUUUCAUCAUCUUCAGGCAUGGGGUUUUCCCAUUGGCCCAGGCGCUGGUGGUUUGUAAAUGGUACUGGAAAGGGGGAGGGGAGGAGGGUGUGCGAACGAGCGCGAGCGCGGCCCGGGCGGGAGCGGGAGGCUGGUUGGUUUCGCAAUCGCUUCUCGCCGUCCGCCGGUUCCAACUCUUCGAAGUCAGGCGUCGGGGUCGCGCCGCAGUGGGGGCCUCGCUGGGUCCGCCUCGGGUGGAGGCCCCCUAGUUUGAAGAAACUGGCAUGCUCCUUCCUUAUCCAUCAGAGUGAACUGGAACCUUGCCUUCCACUUCUUUCUGAGUCCAGUUCACUAAUUGGAUAUACAAAGUAUUCAUUGUGGAUGAUCAUGUAAUAUCCUGAGAGUCAACUGGAAAAAGAGGUGCAUGUGAAGAUUUCUUGGCAGCUUAGUGUGGAAAUUGUUGGUCACUUGCUUCUUCGCCCCUUCUUCUCCCUUGCCCCCAAUUUCUAACUCUGUUGUGGUUCAAGAAGAGCCUGUCCAAAUGAGCAAGACAUCCCAACAGAGCAGUACUGCAGGAGCUAAUGGAAUAAGUGUUAUUCACACACAAGCACAUGCCAGUGGUUUACAGCAGGUUCCUCAGGUGGUGCCAGUCAGCCCUGGAGGAGGAGGCAAAGCUACACCUCCCAGCAAACAAAGCAAAAAAAGUUCAUCAAUGGAUAGGAACAGUGAUGAGUAUCGACAGCGAAGAGAACGGAACAACAUGGCAGUGAAAAAGAGUCGGUUAAAAAGCAAGCAAAAAGCCCAGGAUACCUUACAAAGGGUCAACCAGCUAAAAGAAGAGAAUGAACGCUUGGAAGCAAAAAUUAAACUGCUGACUAAAGAAUUAAGUGUACUUAAAGAUUUGUUUCUUGAGCAUGCACACAACCUGGCAGACAACGUACAGCCUAUGAGCACUGAAAGCACUACCCCAAAUCCUGAGAGCACGGGACAGUAGUGAGGAUACGGCAGUCUGGGCGAACUGAACUCCAGAAGGUGUGACUGACUGACUCCACUCACUUUAGUAUCAAUGCUGAUCUAUUCUAAUAUUUAAAGAUCCUUUUGGGGAUAUUUUCUAGGUGAAGCACUGAAGAUUUGACUAGCCUAAAAUGUUAACUUGUUUGAAGUAAUAAGUUGCUUUUUAUCAAAAGUCAGAGAAUUUUUUCAAAGAUAUAAAAAAAUCUUAGAACUUUUUGUUAUUGCUAAGUCUUGGAUUUUCUCAGAAAUGCUCAUUAUCCCUUUUGGCAUGGAGAAGUAGGAAUGUACCUGAGAAUUGGCAGAUUGGGCAUAAGAUUUUAAUGAAUGAACAUAAUUGGCUGAAAAAGACUAAUGUUAAAUAUUAUUUUAAGAAAGUAUACAUCUACUCUACAGUAAAAAUUGGCUGUUGAUGACAGAUCAGUAUAUAAUAUGAGGGCUAUAAAUACAUUGUCUGAACAUAAUUAGAAGUUUUUCCCUAGUUGGCAUAAAUUGCUUCUCAAUAGUAUGGUUCAAUGACAUUGGCUAAAGUGUUACAAUUGAUUAUUAUAAACAGUGGAUUGUAAAUGUUAUAUAGCAAAUUGAAAUUGGCAUACCAAAAUUGUAAAUGGUUUCCUAGAAUUAAGGGAGCAAGUGGAUUUGUAUUCUUAUAAGCCUCUAUAUCAGUGAAAUUUGUUAGAAUUCUCCGUUUAGGUUUUCUGGGACUAUUGGACUAUUAUUAUUUUCCUUUGUUUUGUGCAAAAUAUCAGGAAUGUUUAGAACAACUCAGAAAAACUGAAGUGUCUAAAAUAUUAGUUUCAAAGAAUUGUUAAAAUAGGCAUUUUUGGCUACCUAUUAUUGAAAAGGACUUCACAUAGUGUACUAGCAGCCUUUUCAGUAUUUGGUUCAAGAGAAUGUUUUAUUGAGAAGGGAACUUUUCUUUGGUCACAUUUUAUAAGGGAACAUUCAUUAAAAAGAGUAAUUUCUUUAAAAUUUUAACAAAAGAGUGUGAUUAUUAGAAAAUAUGUGGUUGACUUCUUACCUUUUCCCCCAAUACAGUGGCAAUAUACUAUUAAGCUGGCUUUUAAAAAGAGAAGCUAAGAUGUCAAACCUUUUUAACUUAUUUCAUAAUUUGUAAUAUGGACCUGGCAUAUUUCUUGUUUGGUCAUCACACUAUAUUCUUCCAAAUCUUUUUUGCACCGUUUACUUCCAUUCAUUAGCUUUUAAACUUGUGUGCCCUAGAAAUGUAUUUAGAAAGAAUAUGUUGGUGAGAAAAUUGUUAGGAUGCCAAUAGAGAAAGUACAAAAUUAUAUUUGAUAGUUAAUUUUAUUUUGUGAAUAAAAAUGUCAGAGGGAAGCUCUAGAGACUGUUC
rnacentral:lncRNA from 1 species